CAGCCCGCGGUAAUACAGAGGGUGCGAGCGUUAAUCGGAUUUACUGGGCGUAAAGCGUGCGUAGGCGGCUUUUUAAGUCGGAUGUGAAAUCCCUGAGCUUAACUUAGGAAUUGCAUUCGAUACUGGGAAGCUAGAGUAUGGGAGAGGAUGGUAGAAUUCCAGGUGUAGCGGUGAAAUGCGUAGAGAUCUGGAGGAAUACCGAUGGCGAAGGCAGCCAUCUGGCCUAAUACUGACGCUGAGGUACGAAAGCAUGGGGAGCAAACAGGAUUAGAUACCCCCGUAGUCCCUGUCUCUUAUACAC
rnacentral:rRNA from 1 species